rnacentral:rRNA from 1 species
AGCGGCGGAUGGGUGAGUAACACGUGGGGAACCUGCCCCUAAGUCUGGGAUACCAUUUGGAAACAGGUGCUAAUACCGGAUAAUAAAGCAGAUCGCAUGAUCAGCUUUUGAAAGGCGGCGUAAGCUGUCGCUAAGGGAUGGCCCCGCGGUGCAUUAGCUAGUUGGUAAGGUAACGGCUUACCAAGGCGACGAUGCAUAGCCGAGUUGAGAGACUGACCGGCCACAUUGGGACUGAGACACGGCCCAAACUCCUACGGGAGGCAGCAGUAGGGAAUCUUCCACAAUGGACGCAAGUCUGACGGAGCAACGCCGCGUGAGUGAAGAAGGUUUUCGGAUCGUAAAGCUCUGUUGUUGGUGAAGAAGGAUAGAGGUAGUAACUGGCCUUUAUUUGACGGUAAUCAACCAGAAAGUCACGGCUAACUACGUGCCAGCAGCCGCGGUAAUACGUAGGUGGCAAGCGUUGUCCGGAUUUAUUGGGCGUAAAGCGAGCGCAGGCGGAAAAAUAAGUCUAAUGUGAAAGCCCUCGGCUUAACCGAGGAACUGCAUCGGAAACUGUUUUUCUUGAGUGCAGAAGAGGAGAGUGGAACUCCAUGUGUAGCGGUGGAAUGCGUAGAUAUAUGGAAGAACACCAGUGGCGAAAGCGGCUCUCUGGUCUGCAACUGACGCUGAGGCUCGAAAGCAUGGGUAGCGAACAGGAUAGAUACCCUGGUAGUCCAUGCCGUAACGAUGAGUGCUAAGUGU